rnacentral:rRNA from 1 species
GACAAACGCUGGCGGCGUGCAUAACACAUGCAAGUCGAACGAAGCAUUUAAAGUGGAGACUUCGGUCAAAGCUUUUUAUGACUUAGUGGCGGACGGGUGAGUAACACGUGAGUAACCUGCCUCUCAGUGGGGAAUAACACACCGAAAGGUGUGCUAAUACCGCAUAAUGUAGUUUUACCGCAUGAUAGAACUACCAAAGAUUUAUCGCUGAGAGAUGGGCUCGCGUCCAAUUAGCUAGAUGGUGAGGUAACGGCUCACCAUGGCGACGAUCUGUAGCCGAACUGAGAGGUUGAUCGGCCGCGAUUGGGACUGAGACACGGCCCAGACUCCUAC